CCNGCUGACAAGAGAAUCUGNUUACNGGNCGCNGCAUCCUNNCCGUGNGAAGGUAGCGNAAUCACUUGUUCUUUNNAUGAGGACUAGUAUGAAUGGCACCACGAGGGCUACACUGUCUCCUUUCUUUAAUCAGUGAAUCUAAUCUCCCCGUGAAGAAGCGGGGAUAAACCUAUAAGACGAGAAGACCCUAUGGAGCUUGAGACAAUAUAGCACUUGCUACACAGCAUUUAAAUUUCUGAAUACUUCAAUACACUUGAGCAACAUGACUAUAAGUCUUUGGUUGGGGUGACCGCGGAGCAUAACACAACCUCCAUGUUGNAAGAAUACUAUUCUAAGCCACGAACUACUAUUCUAANCAUCAGCACNCCGACACUAAUUGACCCAAUAUAAUUGGACANCGAACCAAGUUACCCUAGGGAUAACAGCGCAAUCCACCCUCUAGANCCCCUAUCGNCAAGCGGGUUUUCGACCUNGAUGCUCCAUNUGGNUCNCCAANUGAUGNAUGAGCUGANUCNAGNUC
rnacentral:rRNA from 1 species